GCUGGGCGUGGUGGUGCACACCUUAAUUCCAGAAACUUGGGAGGCUGAGGCAGGAGGAUCGCGAGUUCAAAGCCAGCCUCAGCAGCUUAGCGAGGCCCUAAGCAACUCAGUGAGACCCUGUCUCUA
rnacentral:sRNA from 1 species